rnacentral:rRNA from 1 species
GUUAAAGAAGAACACGUAUGAGAGUAACUGUUCAUACGUUGACGGUAUUUAACCAGAAAGUCACGGCUAACUACGUGCCAGCAGCCGCGGUAAUACGUAGGUGGCAAGCGUUAUCCGGAUUUAUUGGGCGUAAAGAGAGUGCAGGCGGUUUUCUAAGUCUGAUGUGAAAGCCUUCGGCUUAACCGGAGAAGUGCAUCGGAAACUGGAUAACUUGAGUGCAGAAGAGGGUAGUGGAACUCCAUGUGUAGCGGUGGAAUGCGUAGAUAUAUGGAAGAACACCACGUGGCGAAGGCGGCUACCUGGUCUGCAACUGACGCUGAGACUCGAAAGCAUGGGUAGCGAACAGGAUUAGAUACCCUGGUAG